rnacentral:sRNA from 1 species
ACACUCAAGUCCUGGGUCUUGACACUCAACAGAAUCAAGCAAACGAUAGAUAGUACACAACAACAACAAUCUGGACUAACAUGAGCGGUGUACCAUGGAAGGCCAACUUCUCAUAAACGAUGAACUACUUGUAAAUGAAGACAGUAUUAAGUGAAGAAUGACUACCGCUGACAAAUCUUUUGAUGUUCUCAUGAGGUUUCGACCUCCUCUCUAGCAAGCAAAAUGGUAUGCCGAAAAAAAAGCAAUCAGGAGAUUUUCCCCGGAAAAUUUUAGCAACAUUAAGCAAAACCAUUUAAAUUAUGUGGACAACAUCAGUUCAUGCCUGAAGUCACUGGUCAAACAAAUUAAAAAAAAAAAUGUUUUAAAAACGUCCCCGGUCUUAUAAACUAAACAAUGGAUCUAAGGAACUUAAAACUGAAACUCGAAGAACAGUUGCCGUAGUUGAUUCUAGGAAACUUAUACCGGAAGCUUCUGAAAUCCAAGAAAAAUCUCUGGAGCCUGAUGGAUGGUCAUUUUUUGUGUUAAUGGGAACAAUGAAUAGAAAAUAAGAAAUUUACCAAGUCAUUUCAAUUCAAUUAAUGUUGGUAUACGAUUUGGAUGACAUCUGCCAAUGACUGAGGUCAAACAAAAUGUCCUCUGAACUGUAAACUAAACAAUGGAUCUAAGGAACUUAAAACGGAAAAUCGAAGAACAGUUGCCGUAGUUGAUUCUAGUAUACUUAUACCGGUAGCUUCUGAAAUCCAAGAAAAAUCUCUGGAGCCUGAUGGAUGGAAAUUUUUUGUUUAUUUAAAAUGGCGAAUAGAAAAUAAGAACUUAAGCAAUUCAUUUCAAUUCCAUUCAUUUUGGUAUAAGAUUUGGAUGACAGCUGUCAAUGACUGAGGUUAAAUAGAUGUUGGAUGUGAAAUUUCCGGAGCUACUAAGGAACUAAUCAAACGAAGUUGAAAGACGUACAGAUAUUCUCACUCGGGAGAAUCAUUACAAACGCAGAUUCACUCUUGAGAUGCUGCACAUUAUGGACAUUUCCCCUGACGAGAAAUUACAAGAAAGGCGUAGAGAGUUGUGCAAGAGUAUAUCGACACGUCGCCAAUAAAUAAAGAAAGAGAAAAGCAGUUGACAACCGACACACAAUGGGAUGGGAAAAAACAUAAGUGAAAAUAAGUCUGCCAUUUUGGAACAGAUAGAGAUAUCUUCAUGAAAUUUUACAUGGUUAUAGCUGAGGGGUUAUCCAGUUUAUAUCAAGGCCCCAGAAGUCUCAGGGGCCCAUUGGUGGGCCUUCAAAGUAGGUCACCUCGGUCCUAUAAAAUUUUGUUUGGGCUGUCUAAAGCGCAUUUAUGGUCCAAAAUUGCAGGAAAGUGCUAAAAAGCCCUCCGAAAUAGAUCUACAUGCGCGGCAUAUCUUUUAUAGUGUCUAAGAAAUUUCACAAAUUUUUUUUUUUAAUUUUUUAAUUUUUUUUUAUACCCUCCACCAUAGGAUGGGGGUAUAAUA